GCUUAGAGAGCCUCCGGGAGUUGCCAGGAGUUACAUUACUAGGAUUGGAAAUCUAGAUAGUUGUGGCAUGAGCAUUCUUUUCUAUAUUCCCAUGGCACAGAGGGAAUACUAGAAGCAAAGCAUCCGUGGUCUCUAAAUCAUACAUAAACUCCAGGCCAGCUUAACUAGUGGCUUCCGUCAGAGGCCAAAGAACCAUGUCUUGUUUCGAACAGAGGAACCAUGGGGAGUGUGGGGCCUGUGAACGGGACAGCACUUUCCCAGUCACUCUCUAACACACAUGUGCGCUGGCACUCAGCACCAGUCAAGUGAGGAUGGAGAAAGACCGUGAAACUUCAGAGUCCCUCGACCAGCUGGGCUUGACAAACGGAUUUGAUGGCUGAGCUGCAGUGGCCAUACUGGACCAUAAGACAACUUUGAGGACAGAAGCCAGAAGUAAGGAUGGUGGGGCAGAGAAAUACAAGAAGCCUGGGUUCUGAUGAAAUCAUGGGACUUCCAAAGGA